CCUACGGGUGGCAGCAGUGGGGGAUAUUGCACAAUGGGGGAAACCCUGAUGCAGCGACGCCGCGUGAGUGAAGGAGCGAUUCGUCAUGUAACGCUCUAUCAGCAGGGAAGAAAAUGACGGUACCUGAGUAAGAAGCCCCGGCUAACUACGUGCCAGCAGCCGCGGUAAUACGUAGGGGGCAAGCGUUAUCCGGAUUUACUGGGUGUAAAGGGAGCGCAGACGGCAGUGCAAGUCAGGAGUGAAAGGCCGGGGCCCAACCCCGGGACUGCUCUGGAAACUGCACGGCUGGAGUGCAGGAGAGGCAGGUGGAAUUCCUAGUGUAGCGGUGAAAUGCGUAGAUAUUAGGAGGAACACCGGUGGCGAAGGCGGCCUGCUGGACUGUGACUGACGUUGAGGCUCGAGAGCGUGGGGAGCAAACAGGAUUAGAUACCCUAGUAGUC
rnacentral:rRNA from 1 species